rnacentral:tRNA from 1 species
GUUAGCUCAGUUGGUAGAGCAGUUGACUUUUAAUCAAUUGGUCGCAGGUUCGAAUCCUGCACGAGA